rnacentral:lncRNA from 1 species
AUCAGGCCACUGCACUCCAGCCGGGGCAACAGAGCGCAACUCCGUCUCAAAACAAACAAACAAAACAAAACAAAAAAAACUUAUAGACAAGUACAAAAUGAGAAGAAAAAGUCCCUUUCCCUUCAUGCCUCUACUUCCUGCUGUAUUCUCAAAGGUCUUGGAGGAAGGCAUCCUUCUAUUCUACUGAUCAGAAAGCUGGACAAAGUCCCACUGCCAGGCUACACAGUUGGUGCCAUUUGCGGAGGCCCACCCGCAGCGGUCACGUGAAGGACCGAGCGCCGCGCGCCCAGGCGGGGCCUCCGGCCUGCACGAGGAGGGCAGAGUCCGUUGCGGCUGCCGCCCCGACGCCCGCGCAUCCCCGCUCGCCGCGCCCGCCGCCGCGAUGUCCGGGGCCGGCCUAGCCGCGGUGGUGAGCUGCCUGCGCCCGCAGCCCGGCGAGGAGCCGCAGACCCAUGAGGACCUUCUCCUGGCAGCUGCCUAUGUUUUGGAUGCCCAGUACAACAGAAAUGUUCCAUUUGAAACUCACCUCAGGCCAUCAGACGUUACUAUUUUUAUAACCACUAGACAACGCAGGUUGCCGCAUACUUCUUUAUUUGUGUAGACCUCGCUCUUGCCCUGUUUGAAGAGUCUGAGUUGCUUCCCCUGCCUUUCUUGGCCACCUCAAUAGCAGAAGUACUCUGCCUGACUGCAUACUUUGGCAGACUGGUACAUUUUGCAAAAGUCACUCCUCAAAUGGUUUUCUGGAAGGAUACAAAAGACAUCUGCACCAUGGUAACCACAGUGGCGAGUGUUCAUUGUAGUACCUGUAAGAGUU